rnacentral:lncRNA from 1 species
ACCGACUUAAGCUCAUUCUGGCUCCUGGCAGAGGACGACCUGGACAGGACGUGGGGACGUGCGGGAGGGAGGAAGGCUGGGAAUUGGGCUCUGCAGGCCCAGGAGAGCAAGACGUCAGAUUUGGGGAAGUUCAAGGCCACAGGACCCGGGCACUCGGUUCUGAGGGAGGUGAGGGAAGGUGGCGGUACCCAACGUUGCCUGAGUGACUUGGGGACGGACGUCAUCGAUUCUAAGGGGCGUGCACAGAGCGGUGGCSGGAGGUGGCAAGACCCCGGGGAGCGUCCGUGCGGAGAUCGUCCUAAGCAGAGAAGUCGGAGGAGGGGAAGCGGGGGCCUGAGGACAGCAGCCCGGGGACCGUCCCCAACGGGACGGGGAGCACGCCGGCCGCCAGAGGGCGCGCGGCGGAAGGCGGCGACCCACGACCGCGCAGGCCCUUCCUGGGAGGCUUCGGGCGACUUCCGCUCCAGUCUGCCUAUCCUAGGUGAGCUGGGGUUUCCCCAAAUACCAUCGCAUCAUUCUUUAUCCACCUGUGAUCUCCCAGGAGUCAGGGCAGCAGCUGCAGGUCCGGAUCCAACCAAACCCAAGUGA